rnacentral:rRNA from 1 species
CCUACGGGUGGCAGCAGUGAGGAAUAUUGGUCAAUGGACGAGAGUCUGAACCAGCCAAGUAGCGUGAAGGAUGACUGCCCUAUGGGUUGUAAACUUCUUUUAUAUGGGAAUAAAAUGUUCCACGUGUGGGAUUUUGUAUGUACCAUAUGAAUAAGGAUCGGCUAACUCAGUUCCAGCAGCCGCGGUAAUACGGAGGGUCCGAGCGUUCACCGGAUUUAUUGGGUUUAAAGGGAGCGUAGGUGGAUUGUUAAGGCAGUUGUGAAAGUUUGCGGGUCAACCGUAAAACUGCAGUUGAAACGGGCAGUCUUGAGUACAGUAGAGGUGGGCGGAAUUCGUGGUGUAGCGGUGAAAUGCUUAGAUAUCACGAAGAACUCCGGUUGCGAAGGC